CCAAUGCAUUGGGUCAUUGGGCAUUACGACGACGGUGACGAUCUCAGAUGGUGGGGAUGGGUGGUUGCGUUGUGGUGGAGCCCACCGGAAACCCUAGGAGGAGACGAGGCAUUCUAAUCGGAGACCCUAGAAAGGGAGGGAGGGAGGAGGGAACUCUCUCUCUCUUUCUCUCUCUCCUCUCUCAACGCGGCUAACGACGAGAACGUAAUUCCACUCGAAACAGAAACAAAGCAGCCUCCUGAGUCCUGUCUCUCUCUCUCUCAUGGCGUUCACCUUUUUCCGUAUUGGUAAUAUAUAUAAAUUAUUCUACAUGUCCGAUUUUCUUAACAUUGCUAAAUAUUUCUUCAGGACACUCCAUUUUUAGGAGUAUUCAUCUCAUCUCAAUAAAUUUAGCACUAAAAGAAUUCUUAUAUUUUGGAUUAUUAAGCCACCACUAUGACUUGAUCGCAACCACAAUUUCAUGUAAGGUUUUCAUUUUUCUUUUAUAUAUAGAUAUUAGGAUGCACAUAUAUGACAUCACAAUGCCACGUGUAUAGUAUCGUUGAUGGGCUUCAGGUAUAGUUGGGACCCAUUUAAUUUGAGUUUGGUUUUUGAAUGGACUUGUGAAAGUAGAUGUGUUUGAGAGAGUGGGCCAAUGUAAUUAGGCCCAAGAUGGCUUUUAGAAUUUUGUUUGGGGGCCAAACAAGGCCAAAGGCCCAAGGCCCAAAGGCCAUAUGUCUUUAACUUAAACAUUAAUACUAGCAUUUAUUUCUUUUCCCAACAGUUAUUACAGCUUUUCUUUCUCUUUUUCUCUAUCUAGGGUUUCAUCUUGAAGCUUAGUUUGAGGGGUUAGAGUGUGGGUUGCCUUUAGCUUUUCUCGUUCGUAGUAGUCCUUUGGAAGAAAGUUAUCUACGCCGACAGAGGCUUCGUUGAGCCAAGAAGAUCAAGGAUCGGAGGAUAGAAAUGCGGAUUGUCGGGCAUUCACCAUUGUGAGGAGCUUUCAGGCCUUGGAUUUGAGGUAAAGGGGGUGGUUUUUUCUUGUGAGGUUUUCAUUGGAUUGUUGGUCAAGAGAUUACAUAAAGUCUAUUGAGAUAUUAUUUUGCGUAUUGAACUGAAAUGGAAUUUGAUUUAUAUGGAAGUUGAAAAAAAAAAUGGGCGGUUUCUUGUUGGUUAACUUUUGGUUGUGUUGAUAGCUUAAAUAGGUAUAUUUUUGAGUGUUGGAUCCUAAAAUGAAAGAUUUUUGAUUGUUUAUACAAAGUUUUAAGUUUGAGAUUGGAAUUUUGAUGGGGAAUUUUCGAGCGACAUAUGUAAAAACUUGAAACUUAGGAUGGCAACUUAGGUCGGACCCUAACACUUCAAUUUAGGUCGGUCAGCAAAUCUUUCUGACAAACUUAGGUCGACUAACUUCAUUUUAGGUCGUCCUAAACUUCACUUUAGGAUGACAACUUAGGUCGACCUAACUUCACUUUGGUGUGUCAGCAAAUCUUUCUGACCAAACUUAGGUCGUCACUUAGGUCGACCUAAACUUCACUUUAGGAUCGUCAACCUCGGUCGAAACUAAAUAUGUGAUUUUUGCAUAUUGGCUCGGAUAUCAAUAAAUUUUGGACUUUUUUUUGUGAAGCAUCUAUAAGUUUCUUGAGCAUUGUUUAUAACAAAUGCAUUGCAUGAUUUUCAAUAAUAAUUAUUAUUGACGGUUGUUGAUGCGAUAUGUAUUAUCCGUCAUUACAUAAAAGGCUUUUAGCAAAAGUAAUGUGAAUAUGUUUGGAUUUGUACAUAGGAAUGGUUUUGAAGGAAUGACAGAUCGAUAGAAUAUGUCGACGGGUAGUAAUUAGUGUACCUGAUAAGAUGGUUUGGAUUAAGCCAAAGUUAAUAAAGUCCUACGAUGGCAAACGGUACGAGAGGAAUGUCAAGCCCAGGUGUGAAAGUCCGGAAGUUGACAAUAAAGUCAUAGAUGGCAAUGGUACGGAGGGAAAGGUCAUAACCACGGUUUUUGAAAGUCGGGGGAAGUUGACAGUAAAGUCCUAGAUGGCAAUGGUACGGAGGGCAUGUCAUGCCAACGGUUGAAAGUCGGAAAGUUGACAGGCGAUUGUCUCACGUGCUUCGUGCAUAAUGAGAUUGGUAGAUGGCUAGAUGUGUCAGUCAAAGGAAUGGGUUAUUGCUUUUGUGCUGAGCAUAAUGUGGUAAAACAUGACGAUUUGUGAGUCACGGAUUGAAAAAAAAUUUUGUAUAUUUUGGUAUGAUGAACGCAUAAUAUUUGCCAUCAUGAUUUUAUCAUAUAAAUUAUAUCAUGGUUUGGAUUGGCUGGAUUUCAAGUCAUUGUUAAAUCUUUUCAAGGUUAACUCACCUGUACCUAUAACAUAAAUUUCAGUACCGAGGGUUAUCAUGAAUAUAAGGCGUGGGUUUGUGUCCGUAGUAUAUUUGUUUUGGGAUAACAUGUUAGUGAGUAUUUUGGACUUGUAUACUAUUCUUUUGGCCGGUUUGUGGGAAUUGUCAUGCGAUAUCAAUGGGUUUGGAUUUGAUAGCUCAGGCGAAAGCAUGGUUCCAUGGGAGGGAUGGGAUUAGUGUGUACUCUAAUGAAUGCCGUAUAGUCAUGUUUUUAGUUUGACUUUUUCGAUUUGAGUUGUUUGCUUACGUGGCGGGUUUAUUGGUGACCGGGGCGUUUGAUGACAACAUGGUAUCAGAGCUCUAGGUUCGAAUACUCUGAGCCGUGGGGUGGUAGACCAGUUUGGUUUAAAUGUCUAAGUAAGUAUUGAGGGGUUAAUGUAGUGUGCUAUCUAUGUGAUUAGGAUACAUGAGUAUAUGCUACAUGUAGUAAAUUGCGUUAUGGCUAUAGCCAUGUUUAUGACUUAAUCAUCAAGCGAUGAUUAUCUUAUGCUUUCUUGUGGCAUGUGUAUAGAACAUGCCACACGCAACGAGAUAGAGGAGAGUUGGCUAAACCUUACGGGAGCUAGUGGGGCCGUGAAGCACGCGGGCUCGUAGGAAUUCAUGACGAGGGAAGACGAUGUGAAUCACCAAGAGUCGGUUGAGGCGGAGGUGGGGCACGGAUCCAGGAGGAAAUGUGCGAGGUUUGCUCCACCUACGAAUUUGGGUGGCCCCGAAACUUAUGAAGGAGUGUUCACCGCCCAUUGAGCAAGUGGUGAGAACGAAAACAGUGCAAACUAUGCAAGUGACAGUUAGAAGGCAGAGGUAAGGCUACCACCGCCAUGAAGGGCCUUUCUUAACUAAGUCCACCCCAACGUCAAGGAGACUGGAUCCAUUGGUUUGCGGCAAGAUUGGCUGAACAAGUCACAAGAGCAUUGGAUACAAUCUUAGAGACAGAGGGAAAGGAAGAGGAGGGUGUGGUUUGCAUCCUAUCAAUUGCAGGGGGAUGCCCUCCAAUGUGAGAAGACCAUGAGGAAGUGGGAGCAAAGAAGUGGGAGCCUUUCAAGCAAGCUUUCUGAUCAAUAUUUUACGGCUCGUAGGAGGAGUGAGAUGGAAAUGUAUAAUUAGUUCAAGGAAGCUGACGUGGCUCAAUAUGAGGCCAAGUUACUAGCUUGUCCAGGUUUGAAAAGCAUUUGUAUUGACGGAAGAAGAAAAAGCGAACAGUUAUGCGGGGGUGGGACUUACGGGCCGUCCAAAGGAAUAUAAGAGUGCAGGGAAAUGAUCAAAGUUACUCGACUAAUGGUCAGCGCAGCGGCAACCAUGAGGGAGAUUGAACGAGGACUAGGAAGAUUCAAAUCCUAAGUCACGCAAUGCGGGGAUAAGCAAUCCGUCGGAGAGGGGCGUUAUUUAAGAAGCCAAGGAAUUGUCUGCACAAAAGCAGUAUCAUAUGAGGUCUGACCCGCCAAAUAUAUUAUAUCAUCGGGCCAAAACAUCUCGGGGAGGGCCGAUUUGGUUUGGUUGUCAUCAAACGGGUAUCGUAUAGUGGACUGCACCUGAAGGGUCAACAGCGGCAGGCGCUACGGGGGGGGGGACAAUCUCACAUCCAGGCACAGGGGACAAUCACAGUCAGGGGGCCACCUACCUGCAGCGGUGUGGUCAGGUGGGUCAUAUCAGUCGACGUGCACGCCAAAGGGAGAACAGUCAGGAAAAAAAGCUAUGGGAUGCGCCACAACUACCGGUCAGUUCAGGCCCGAGGCUACUCCAGCGGUUAAUCAGCACAGAUUCAUAUCAGUCCCAGACCACAGGUUGUAACUCAGUAGGGUCAGGGACACAGGGACGGGUUUACGCUUAUAACAUCAGCAGCGGGACGUCGGGGGACAGCGGACCGCCAGGGCCCAGCAUGGAUUGGAUACUCAAUUGUGCGAGGUAAUUACCUUAUGUUUAAUCGUUGGGGCUCGUUUUCUCAUCAGACACGGGGGCAUCACAUUCAUUCAUUAAUCAUCUUUUGUUUACUUUGGCCUUGGAUCGAGGAUUGAUGUAUAGAUUCAGUGAUGAUGUAGACACUCAGUUGGGAGUAGAUCGACUUGAAGAGAGAGUUUGCUGAUCUUGUGACGUUGAGAUCGCUGAUCGACGUUUCGUGGUGAUUUUAUUGUAUUAGACAUGACUUAAUUUGAAGUAAUCCUUGGUAUGGUUGGUUGGACCGGAUAUCGGGCCAUGAUAGACUGUGUCGACAUCGAAGUUAUUUGUACACCCAAGGAGAUCACUUUAAUUCGUUGGGGGAUCGAAGUCCGUGGUUUGGUUCCUUCGUUAUGAUGUGGUAGGCAAGGGAGUUAAUUUUCUUUCUAGGCGUGCGGUCGAUGAGGGUAGGUAGUUAGUUGUGCCUUUUGCCACCAGUCGUUGCGAGUUCCCGGAUAUUUUUGCGGGAAGAUUUGAACAGAGUUACCACCGCAGCGGGAGAGUUGAGUUCUCCAUUGAUCUAUACUAGGCACGCGCCCCUCUCAAUACCACCGUAUCGCUUGCAUCGGCAGAGUUGCAAGAGUUGAAGGUUCAAAUCAAGGAUUUGUGGGAUAAGGGUUUUCUCCUACCUAGCGCAUCACCAUGGGGAGCUUCGGUUUAUUUGACUUAAGAAGAAGGAUGGAUCGCUUAGAAUGUGUGUGAGUAUCGACGAUUGAACGUUUGUGACGGUAUAAAGAAUAAGUAUCCCCUUCCGAUGAUCGACGACUUAUUUGACCAAUUAAAAAGGUCGAAGUUUUGUUUCUCGAAAAUUGAUUGAGAUCGGGUAUCAUCAAUUGCGGAUCAAAGAGGGAGAUAUUGUGAAGACGGCUUUUGCUCACGCUUACGGGCAUUAUGAGUUUCUUGGUGAUGCCAUUUGGUCUUACGAAUCACCAACAACUUUCUGGUUUGAUGAAUCGUAUCUUCAAUCCAUACUGACCGUUGUUUCGUGGUCGUAGUCGUGACGACAUCUUGAUCUACUCGCCAUCGGUUGAGUCACAUGAGGAGCAUUUGAAAUAGUGUUACACUCUUGCGAGACACCGUUUGUUUUUUUAUGCUAGUUUAGGCAAGUGCGAAUUUUGGUUGCCCCGCCCCCCCUGAGGUGAAAUUCUUAGGUCAACGUUGUGUCGGGUAGUGGAGUAGCUGUGGAUCAUCAAAGAUUGAGGCAAGUGAUGAAUUGGAACCACCGAAGUCCGUAUUUGCAUUCUAUUUUCUUGGUUUUUAUUCUGGUUGACUACCGGCGAUUUGUAAAGGCGUUUCAAGAUUAGCGGCACCAAUUACUCGCUUACGAGGAAUGGGAUUCCGUUUAUUUGGAGACGUGCGUGCGAGCAUUCUUUUCAAGAGCUAAGAAGAACUGACUUCGGUACCAAUUCUUGUUAUACCCGAGCGAGGGUUGGGGGUAGACCGUGUACUGCAUUCUCACGUGAUUGGCUUGGGUUGCGUGUUGAUGCAGUUGGUGUAAAUGGUUCGUAUGGUUCUCGCAGUUUAAGACGCAGAACAAAAUUUCCGACUCAUGACUUGAACUUGCGGCCGUUAAUAUUUGCUUUGAAAAGUUGGAGGCACUACUUGUACGGAGAGCGGUUUGAAGUGUUUUUUCAGACCGCAAGAGUUUGAAGUACUUGUUCACACAGAAGACUUGAACUUGAGGCAGCGGCGUUGGAUGGAGUACAUGGAAGACUUAUGACUUCGACUUACAAUUCGUCCGCGGAAAAGCUAAUGUUUGUGGCUGAUGCACUUAGUAGGAAACGCUUAGUGUUUUGGGAGCAUUUCCUCCAUGAGUGGAAGAUGUCAGGAUAUCGGUGAGUAUGAUUUUCUUCUCGGCGAGACGACGCAGUUUUGCUAUGUUGUUCACAUUGUCUGCAGAACCAUCUAUCAUUAAUAGGGUCGUUGAGGCACAACAACAAGAUGGUGAGGCCAAGACGGAUUUGCAUCGUAUCGCUAGAGGUUGUAGACCAACAUGUUGGGCUCCUACAUUUGGACGGGGGUUUGAGGUAUACGUCUAUAUUUUUGUACCUCUGUCUAGUAGAGACGACGUUCUUCGUGAGUUUCAAAUCAUUCACGACUUCAGUUCAUCCUGGAGGGACGAAUAUGUACCAUGAUCUGUGCGCCAGUUUUGGUGGAACGAAUGAAGACAGACGUUGCUUUGUUUGUUUCGAGAUGUUUGACUUGUCAGCAAGUGAAAGCCGAACACCAGAAUCCAACAUGUUGCACAACCAUUGCCAGUUGUAGAGUGGAAUGGGAGCACUCACAUGGACUUUGUUACCAGGUUUGCCUAGUCAUCGAGAGGGCAUAGAUCCGUUUGGGUCAUAGUGGAUCGUUUGACAAAAUCCGCGCAUUUUCUUCCUAUCCCUCUGUCAAAUUCGGCAGAGGAUCUUGGGUGUUCUUUAGUUCGAGAGAUCGUUAGACUUCAUGGGGUCCAGUAUCUAUCGUUUCGAUAGGGACCGCGUUUUACAAUCGCUUUUUUGGAAGGGGAUGCAAUCCGCACUAUGACGAAUUUGAGGCUUAGCACGGCAUUUCAUCCUCAACUGCGGCAUUCUGAACGACUAUUUCAACCUUUUGUUGAGGACUACUUCGAAGCAUAUGUACUUGAUUUUGGGGGAUCAUGGGAGGAUCAUCUAUAUUGGUAGAGUUCGCGUAAAUAACAAUAGUAUCAAGCUAGCAUUGGUAUGGGCGACCCUUUUGAGGCGUAUAUACGGAAGGUCAUGUAGUGUCAUCCCGUGUGUUUGGACCGACGUGGGAAGCAAGUUCUUUCAUUCAAAUCAAAUGGGUUCGUGAUUAGAGCGAGAUGUUGUAUUGAUUAGUAAUCGUUUACCUACUUCACGGCGCAAGAGUCGUCAGAAGAUUACCGCCGAUAGGAGGAAACUUCAUUUGAUUUGCCCGUUGGGUAAUCAUGUAUUCUUGAGGUUUCACCUAAGAGGGGUUUGAUUGCGUUUUUGGGCAUACUGCAAGCUCUCAUCCAAGUUUCAUUGGACCGUUUGAGAUUCUUGACGCUUGGGGCCGUGGUCAUCCCGGCUUGCUUUGCCCCGAAGUUUGGGCCAAUGUGCACAUUUAUUUCCAUAUUUCCUGUUGCGAAAGGAAUGACCCGGCCCUCACAAGACGUUUUGGAUUGGGGAGAUUUGGACGUCAACGAGGAUGUAACAUACGAAGACGCCCGAUUCGUGUAUUGGACACAAAGGGGAUCAAGUUUGAGAGUGAAGUCUAUUUUAUUGUUGAAAGUUCUAUGGGCUUCAUCAUGGCAUAGGAGGAAGCUACGUGGGAGCGCUAGUCAGAGUGUUCGCGCAAAGUAGCCAGAUCUUUUAAGACAUCAAUGUACCUUUUGGUUUAAUUUUCAGGAAGAACUUCUUUAAGUGGUGGGGAGGUUUGUAGGUUUUAAAACAUUUUUUCUUUUAUAUAUAGAUAAUUAGGAUGCAUAUAUGACCAUCACAAUGCCCUCGUGUAUAUGUUCAUCGGUGAAGGGCUUCGGUAUUUGGACCCAUUUAAUUUGAAGUUUGGUUUUUGAAUGGACUUGAAGUAAUGUGUGGAGAAGUGUGCCAAGUUAUUAGGCGCAAGAUUGUUUAGAAUUUUGUUGGAGCCAAACAGGCCAAGGCCCAAGGCCAUAGUCUUAAACUUAAACAUUAAUAUCCCUAAGCAUUUAUUUAUUUCCCCACAUUUAAUACAGCUUCUUCUUUCUCCUCUUUUUCCGCUUCUCUAGGUUUUCAUCUUGAGCUUAGAUUUGAGUGAGUUAGAGUGUGGGUGAGGUAGUAGUCCGUUGGAAUAAAUUGAUCUACGCGACAGAGGCUUCAUUUUGAGCCAAGAAGAUUCAAGGAUCGGAGGAAUUCGGAUUCGGGCAUCACCAUGUUGAGGAGCUUUUUCAUUGCUUAGAUUUGAGGUAAAGGGGGUUUUCCUUCCUUGUGAUGUUUUCAUUGGAUUUGUUUGUCAUAUAGCUUACGGCAGAAAGUCAUUGAGACAUUAUUUUGAGUCUUGAACUUGAAAUGGAAAUUUAAUUUAUUAAGGUUGGACGUUGAAAAAAUUGGUUUUCCUUGUUUGGGGUUUACUUUUGGUUGUUGUUGAUAAGCUUAAAUAGGUAUUAAGUUUGAGUGUUGGAUCCUCAAUAAGAUUUGUAUUGUUUAAAAAAAAGUUUUAAGUUUUGAGAUUUGGAUUUUGAAUGAAUUUGAUGCGCAUGAUUAAACUCUUGCUUGAAACUUAGGCAUUGGCAACACUUAGGUCCGACCUAACUUCACUUUAUUUCGUCCGCAAUCUUUUCUGAUCAAACUUAGUAGGGUCGCCUAACUUCAUUUUAGGUCGUCCCUAGACUUUCACUUUAGGAUGACAACUUAGUCACCUAACUUCACUUUAGGUUGUCAGCCAUCUUCUUUCUUGACCAAACUUUGGUCGUCAAUUGUCGACCUACACUCACUUUAGUCGUCAACUCUACUCCGUCCUCCUCCGGUCGCACUAAUAUGUGAUUUUUUGCUAUUGCUCGGAUAUCAAAUUAAAUUUUUGACUUGUUUGCAGCAUCUAUAAGUUUCUUUGAGCAUUGUUUAUAACAAACUGCUUGCAAUGAUUUCCCUUAUAUUAUUAUUGACGGUUGAUGAGAUUAUGUAUUAUCAGUCAUUUACUAAAAGCUUUUAAGGCAAUGUAAUCGGGAUAUAUGUUUGGAUUGUAACUUAGGAAUGGUUUUGAUAGAAUGACAGACCUCGCUAGAAUUGUUCGAGGGUAUACAUAGUGUACUGAAGUGGUUUGGAUUAAGCCAAAGUUAAAGUCCUAAUAUGCAAACUGUACCGGGGGAUGUCAUAGCCCACGUGAAAGUCCCGGGAAGUUGACACUAAAGUCCUAGAUUGCAAUGUUAACGGAGGGAACGUCAUAGCCCACGGUGAAAUUCCGGGAAGUUUACAGUAAAGUCCCUACGAUGGCAAUGGUCGAGGGAAUGUCAUAGCCACGUGAGUCCGGAAAGUUUGACAGAGAUUUGUCUCACGUGCUUAGUGCCUAAUGCAAUUGGUUAGAGGGCUAGAUGUGGUCAUUCCAAAGGAAUAGGGUUAAUUGCUUUUGUUGAUGAGCUGAUGUGGUAAACUGGACGAUUUGUGAGAUCAACGAUGAAAAUGUCUAUUUUGGUAUGGAUGACAGCAUAAUAUUUUGCAUCUGAUUUUUAUCAUAUAAUAUGUAUCAGGGAUUUGGCUUGAGAUUUCAGUUCAUUAUUAAAUCUUUUUUCAAGGUAACGACCUUUACUAUAACAUAAAUUUUUCAGGUACCGAGGGUUAUCCUUCUCAUUAGCACUGUGGGUGUCCGUAGUUAUUUUGUUUUUGGAUAAAUAUGGUUGUGAAUCUUUUAGAAAUUGUCAUUAUUCUUUGGCCCGUGUGGGCAUUGUCCAUGUAUAUCACUUGUUUGUAUUUGAUAGCUCAUGGAGAGCAUGGUUUCCAUGGAGGGAUUAGUUGUCGUACUCUGAGUAAUGACCGUAAUUGUCAUGUUUUUUAGUUUGGACUUUUCGCAUUUGAGUUGUUUGCUUACUGGGCCGGGUCUUGGUUUGACUGGGGCGUGACAUGUCAAGCUUAAUUUUGCAAUGUCAUCUUGUUUUUUGUGAUUUUUAAAAAAAUAGUAGUGAAAUCCUCAUUAUUUUAAACUAUUAUCAAAAUGAUUAUUACAGUGUUAUUUUUUAAAAAAUCACAAGUGUCCUUUAUAUUAGGGUUUUUCAAAUUAUUUUCUCAAUACACCCCAAUAAAAAAACAAAACCAAUUUAAAUAAAUUAACUAGCUAAAUUUUAAAAAAAAUGAAUAACAAAAUUUAUUUUUAAGUUGUUUAUAUUAGGAGUACUUCAAAAUUAAAAUCUUUACAUUUAUUUUUUUUUUAAAAAAAUCUUGUUUAAUAACAAAGGUUUACUCAUUUUUUAAGUGGCAUUUUGAUUCCAGUACUUAAAAGCAAACUAUUUAGUCAAUUCUUUUUUAAAAAAAAAUAUUAUUUAUAAAAACUAAAAAUAUAUAGUACAAAUAAUGGUAUUUUUAGAGAAAAAAGAAUAUUUAUUUAUUUUAAUGAAAGUAUUAAGUAAAUAAAUUUAAAAGCCCUAAAUCUAAGGGCUAGUUUGACAAUUUUGCACAAAAAUUAGCUCUAGAAAGUGAAUUUGAAUAAUAGUUUUAAAAAUAAUUAAGGGCAGUUCUAUUUCUAAAACUACCAAAAAAAUGACUAUAUUUGUCCAUAAAUCCAUGGGAAUUCGUGGAAUUUAGCCAAAGAAAAAGGUAAAUCCUACAAUUGACAUUUUUUUUUUCUUUUGCAUUGCCAUCCUCAUGCACCGCCAUAUCGAGUCAAGUUCGAAUUCUGAACGCUUUUCAUUCCCUCUUAUUUGCGGUUAAAAAAAAAAUUAUCCAUCACCUUCGUUCUCACUUUUGUUCAUUCUUUAUGCAUACCUAAGAAUAGAAAUGUAAAAAAAAAAUAAUGGCAGUAAAUACUGAUAAUCCUCGGUAGGAGUGUAAAAUCCCAGCCCGAAACCCUCGGCUUUGAAUGGGCUCGGCCUGUCUACUUUCAAAAUUUGGGUCGCCCGGGCCACCCAAAACCAAGAACCCCCUAUGCCACGUGCACCCAAAGCCCAAGGGCGUACUGACUGGACUUAGGUUCGGGCUUUUUAGCUGGUUGGCCCUGGUCCAUCUGUUCGGGCUUUUAAUUUUUUGUUCCAUAAGUUUGCAGUUUGCCUGAGAAAAAUAUUUAAGGAAGGAAAAUAUUAAAUUCCCCCUCCCCCCGUCCCUGUGCCCUCCUUCCUCCUCCUCAUGCCUCUCUUUUUGUUUUUUUUUUUUUCCUCAUUUCUCUUUCCUGUUUCUCUUUCCCACCUUUUUCUUUUCCCUCUCUUCUCCCUCUGCCCUUUUCUCUUCUUUCUCUUUCUUUCUAUAAUAUUCUAGUUCAGGACCGGCAAGCGGGUAGGGGAUGACCGGGAGGGCUUUUUAAUCAGGUUUGGGGUUCGGGGUACCCCAAAACCCCAGGCCCAAGCUCAACCCAAAUACUUUUGGGCUUCGCUCGGGGCUCGGGCGCCUCGGCCUAUUUCGGUUUAAAUUCGGACCUUCAAGAGUAGGGAUUUUUUUACAGCGCAAUAUCUUACGCUAUAUAUGCUUGGCUAAAAACACUAAAAUUAGCCUUCAAAAUUCUUAUUAAUAGUUAUUAGCCUUCAAAACUCUAACUCCUGCAAUUUCUAGAUGCACUUGUUAUUCAUUUCUGUAGUUAGAAUUGUUGCAAUCAAAUUCAAUAUGAUUCCCCAAGUAUUAUGUAGUUCAAGACAAAAACAAAACAUCUUUGGGCAUCAGAGGGGCAAUCUCCAAUUUUUUGUUAUGGUGUUAUGUAAAAAUUUAAACAACAAAUUUUUAUUACUGGGGUCAAAUGAUAUAUAUAUCUUUAUGGGUUUCACCUUUUUAAAAAAUAUAGAGUAUAAAUACUAAAAAAAAAAAAAAUUUUAAAGAUUUUCCAGAGUGCUAUGGGUGACCCAUCAGCCUCUAUGUGCCCGCCCGCCCUGGGCUACCAGUAUAUAGAUAACUCGUAUUGUAAGUACGCCGUGAAUGCGAUGCACGGGUUGAUGUAGAAAUUUAAAUCUACAUAAAUAUUAGUGUUGGCAAUCUAAUGAUAAUUAUGAAACCAAUGUAGAACGUAUAAUAAAAAAUAGAAUUAUAGCAGUCUUUUCAAGAUAAACAAAUGUACUCUAAUUUUCUUUCUAAAUUUCAGCAGUUUUUAGCAUCAUAUAUAUGUAAUUUACAAACACAUGGAGUAUUGAAAAAUAUAUAUAUACUAAGAUAAUGGAAUGCUCACGUGUAUGAUCAAGAGAUGAACUUACCCAACAAUUAUAUUACGUUUCUUUAAAAAUCACAUAUUUAGAAAUAACAUAUGAAAAGGGAAAGAACAAAAACAAUGCGGUAGGGAAAUCAAAAUCAAAAGAAAUUGUCGAAAUACCUCAAUUUUGAAGUAUGUUGCUUACCAACUUGUGAUUCGACAAUGCGUCCAUAUGAAAGCUUUAUCAGACCAAAAUGAAACAUGCCAACAUAUACAUUCUGCCCCCUGUAGUUUCUCCUUCUUACUUUGGAUGGGAGGAUCGAUAGUUUUUAGAAACACUAACAUUUAUUUUAUAUUUGUUUCACGUCAACCACAUGAUACUCGAAAUGAGUAAAUAAAUGUAGACUUGAAAAAUAACAACCGUAUGAAUAAGAAAAGUGUUGAAAACUCUA
rnacentral:lncRNA from 1 species